AUACAGGCUCAGUCUCAGGCCCUGAACCUGGCAACCCUAAACACAAGCAAGCAAGCAUGGGAAAGAGGAAAAGGAGGAAGAUUGUUCAAGCUUUGGGAGGUCACAAAAGGACCCCAAAAGUUGAAGAUCUUCUGACUCUAAAGACUCCUCGAAAGGAGUUAAAGGGGAGCCUUGUUCAUGUUGAUGGGUUUCCUCAUGUGGAGCCGAGUUAAAGGGAAAAGAAAUAACAAUAAAUCCUCAGCAAGGAUUCUGUUCAUGUCAGCUUGCGCGACUGCUACAUUAAUGCAAUGGAGCCACUCCUCAGCAUUCUUUUCAUCUUUGGCCUUGAAAACGUAGGUCUUACGGUCUGUGAAGAUUUCAAAGGCCCGAGGAAGGCUGCGAUCUCUGCGCUUCUUGGCCACCACCUUGACACUCUGGACCUUACUGAGCUCAAUGGGGCAAUCGUCUGGGUCAUCUUUCUAAAACAGAGAAGGAAGGAAGUGAAGAAGGGGAAAACAGAGUUCAAAAUUGUUUCUGAAUAUGCAUGGUUAUUUAUCAAGCCAGAAGGGGCUUUCAGGUGAUGCAGUUCUUAUUGUUUAUUACCCAGUUCUCUCAGAGUUUAAAGUAGUCUAUCAGCCAUUUCCCCUCCCUAAAUAACACAGGGGACUGUAGUUCUAUGAAAAGAAGGGGGAAGAGAAAAUUCUCAGUACCCCUACCAAGCUACAAUCCCGGGAUUCUUUGGGAUCAGCCAUGACAGUCAAAAUGCAAUAGCAUCACUAGAAGUUUCUAGUGUAGAUAUAUACUCAAAAGAGUCUAGGGAGGAAAAAAAUAAAAAACAUAAUUUGUUCCACCAGAGCCAGUUUUUAGGAGUUGAGCUUAAU